rnacentral:rRNA from 1 species
GACGAACGCUGGCGGCGUGCUUAACACAUGCAAGUCGAACGGAAAGGCCCUGCUUUUGUGGGGUGCUCGAGUGGCGAACGGGUGGGUAACACGUGAGUAACCUGCCCUUGACUUUGGGAUAACUUCAGGAAACUGGGGCUAAUACCGGAUAGGAGCUCCUGCUGCAUGGUGGGGGUUGGAAAGUUUCGGCGGUUGGGGAUGGACUCGCGGCUUAUCAGCUUGUUGUGGGGUAGUGGCUUACCAAGGCUUUGACGGGUAGCCGGCCUGAGAGGGUGACCGGCCACAUUGGGACUGAGAUACGGCCCAGACUCCUACGGGAGGCAGCAGUGGGGAAUAUUGCACAAUGGGCGGAAGCCUGAUGCAGCAACGCCGCGUGCGGGAUGACGGCCUUCGGGUUGUAAACCGCUUUCGCCUGUGACGAAGCGUGAGUGACGGUAAUGGGUAAAGAAGCACCGGCUAACUACGUG